rnacentral:rRNA from 1 species
GAUGAACGCUAGCGGCAGGCUUAACACAUGCAAGUCGAGGGGCAGCAUAAUGGAUAGCAAUAUCUAUGGUGGCGACCGGCGCACGGGUGCGUAACGCGUAUGCAACCUACCUUUAACAGGGGGAUAACACUGAGAAAUUGGUACUAAUACCCCAUAAUAUCAUAGAAGGCAUCUUUUAUGGUUGAAAAUUCCGAUGGUUAGAGAUGGGCAUGCGUUGGAUUAGCUAGUUGGUGGGGUAACGGCUCACCAAGGCGACGAUCAGUAGCCGACCUGAGAGGGUGACCGGCCACAUUGGGACUGAGACACGGCCCAA